UACGAAGGGGGCUAGCGUUGUUCGGAUUUACUGGGCGUAAAGCGCACGUAGGCGGAUUGUUAAGUCGGGGGUGAAAUCCUGGAGCUCAACUCCAGAACUGCCUUCGAUACUGGCAAUCUCGAGUCCGGAAGAGGUAAGUGGAACUCCUAGUGUAGAGGUGGAAUUCGUAGAUAUUAGGAAGAACACCAGUGGCGAAGGCGGCUUACUGGUCCGGUACUGACGGCUGAGGUGCGAAAGCGUGGGGAGCAAACAGGGA
rnacentral:rRNA from 1 species